GAUGAACGCUGGCGGCGUGCCUAAUACAUGCAAGUCGAGCGGUAAGGCUCCUUCGGGAGUACACGAGCGGCGGACGGGUGAGUAAUACGUAGGAACGUACCCCAAAGUGAGGAAUAACCAGCCGAAAGGUUGGCUAAUACCGCAUAUGCUUUACGGAGUAAAGCAGCAAUGCGCUUUGGGAACGGCCUGCGUCCGAUUAGCUAGUUGGUAAGGUAAAGGCUUACCAAGGCGACGAUCGGUAGCUGUUCUGAGAGGAUGAUCAGCCACACUGGAACUGAGACACGGUCCAGACUCCUACGGGAGGCAGCAGUAGGGAAUUUUCCACAAUGGGCGAAAGCCUGAUGGAGCAACGCCGCGUGCAGGAUGAAGGCCUUAGGGUUGUAAACUGCUUUUAUCUAUGACGAUUAUGACAGUAGCAGAUGAAUAAGGAUCGGCUAACUCCGUGCCAGCCGCCGCCGUAA
rnacentral:rRNA from 1 species